rnacentral:rRNA from 1 species
UAGGGAAGUCUUCCACAAUGGGCGAAAGCCUGAUGGAGCAACGCCGCGUGUGUGAUGAAGGGUUUCGGCUCGUAAAACACUGUUGUUAAAGAAGAACAUAUCUGAGAGUAACUGUUCAGGUAUUGACGGUAUUUAACCAGAAAGCCACGGCUAACUACGUGCCAC